AACCGCUCUAAAGCAUGUCUCCCGAAAGUGGGAACCGGUUUCGGGAUAAAGACAUGCGUCAAAACAAAAACUUAAAGCGUGUCGCCUGAGUAUGAUUGGACGCGACACGCUUUAGAUGCAGGAGAUUUGCAUGUCGGAUGGUGUGAACCGUUUUCUUGG
rnacentral:ncRNA from 1 species